UCAAAAACAUGUCUUUUUGAUAAUAAUUUAAAGUCUAAUCUGCCCACUGAUAUUUAUAUUAAAGGGCUGCAGUAUAUUGACUGUACAAAGGUAGCAUAAUCAUUAGUCUUUUAAUUGGGGACUUGUAUGAAAGAUUUGAUGAAAUAUAAACUGUCUCUAAUUUAAAAAUAAAAUUUAAUUUUUUAGUUAAAAAGCUAAAAUUUUAUUAAAAGACGAGAAGACCCUAUAAAGUUUUAUAAUUUAUUUAUUUAAUAUAAAAUAUAUAAUUAAAUAUAAUAAUUAAAUGAAUUAUUUUAUUGGGGUGAUAGAAAAAUUUAAUAAACUUUUUUUUUAUAAAAACAUAUAUAAGUGAUAAAAUGAUCCAUUUAUUAAUGAUUAAAAGAAAAAAUUACUUUAGGGAUAACAGCGUAAUAUUUUUUUUUAGUACAAAUAAAAAAAAAAGUUUGCGACCUCGAUGUUGGAUUAAGAUAAAAUUUAAAUGCAAAAGUUUAAAAUUUUGAUCUGUUCGAUCAUUAAAAUCUUACAUGAUCUGAGCU
rnacentral:rRNA from 1 species